CAGACAUACAAAAACUUUAUUUAUCGAAAAAAACGUUUACACAUAGAAAAACAAAGAGAGAGAAAAGCAUAACCAGAUACGUUUAUACAUGAUAGAAUGAUUGUGCUAAAUUUGCCCCCACAUCGUGCGAUCCAUCUGAGACUGUAUCUUCAUUUCAUGUGGCAACAAUUUUGCAUCUUCUUAUUUAUUCUUCAUCUACCU
rnacentral:misc_RNA from 1 species